rnacentral:rRNA from 1 species
CCUACGGGUGGCUGCAGUGGGGAAUAUUGCGCAAUGGACGAAAGUCUGACGCAGCAACGCCGCGUGAGUGAUGAAGGCCUUCGGGUUGUAAAACUCUGUCUUUUGGGACGAUAAUGACGGUACCAAAGGAGGAAGCCACGGCUAACUACGUGCCAGCAGCCGCGGUAAUACGUAGGUGGCAAGCGUUGUCCGGAAUUACUGGGUGUAAAGGGUGCGUAGGCGGAUAUUUAAGUCAGAUGUGAAAUCCCCGAGCUUAACUUGGGGGCUGCAUUUGAAACUGGAUGUCUAGAGUACAGGAGAGGAAAGCGGAAUUCCUAGUGUAGCGGUGAAAUGCGUAGAGAUUAGGAAGAACACCGGUGGCGAAGGCGGCUUUCUGGACUGUAACUGACGCUGAGGCACGAAAGCGUGGGGAGCAAACAGGCUUAGAUACCCCAGUAGUC